rnacentral:lncRNA from 10 species
AUCAAUAUCAUACCAUUGCCUCUCGGUGGUUAUACACACACACACAGACACACACACACAUACACACACACACACACACACACACACACACACACGAAUUUCAUGUUUUCUUCCUUUUGAAACUAAAUGUGAUCUGUCUGACCUUUCUGAGGAGUCUGCUGCUUUUUCAGAUUUAUGUCCCUGUGACAAGGUGGUUUGGCAAGCUGUUUGUCUUAAUCACUCAGCAUCU